GACGAACGCUGGCGGCGUGCCUAAUACAUGCAAGUAGAACGCACAGUUUAUACCGUAGCUUGCUACACCAUAGACUGUGAGUUGCGAACGGGUGAGUAACGCGUAGGUAGCCUGCCUGGUAGCGGGGGAUAACUAUUGGAAACGAUAGCUAAUACCGCAUAAUAUUAAUUAUUGCAUGAUAAUUAAUUGAAAGGUGCAAUUGCACCACUACCAGAUGGACCUGCGUUGUAUUAGCUAGUAGGUGAGGUAACGGCUCACCUAGGCGACGAUACAUAGCCGACCUGAGAGGGUGAUCGGCCACACUGGGACUGAGACACGGCCCAGAAUCCUAAGGGAGGCAGCAGUAGGGAAUCUUCGGGAAUGGAGGAAAGUCUGACCGAGCAACGCCGCGUGAGUGAAGAAGGUUUUCGGAUCGUAAAGCUCUGUUGUAAGAGAAGAACGGGUGUGAGAGUGGAAAGUUCACACUGUGACGGUAUCUUACCAGAAAGGGACGGCUAACUACGUG
rnacentral:rRNA from 1 species